UUGCAGAAGUCAUAGAGACCCUUUAAAUAAUAUUCUUGGAUUAUUUGUUUGCCUCCAGCCAUCUUCAAUUGUCAACCUUUUCCUCAAACAGUAGUGCAUUGAAAACUUUUAUUUUUAAAGAAAAUUUGAAAGUGUUAACUGAUUAAACUAAUUUUCUACUUGAGGAUAAUCCAUGAAGCUAAAAUAAUACUGCUUUGAUUGAUUGCAAAAGAAAAAUAAGACAAUUGAAUAUUUUGUCUUUUUUCUAGAUCAAACAUCAAACUGCCAAAGACAGAAAAUUAUUUACUGAUGUACAUUAUUUGACAAACUAUUCAAAGGAAUGACCCCACUAUUUAUGCAGUUUUAAGCAGAGAAGGAGAGUCUCCAGGAACUAUACGAAUUAAUCAACUUGAGCAAUCAGCCUGUUUUACAGCCUCCUGCCUUGGAGACUACUUUUUCCAAAACUCUAUGUGGGAUGUGGUCACCUAGUUGGUUGGAACCAGCUCCUGACAGACCCCAGCAACUGACAGAUGAACCUGAGUGAACUUUCCUCAUUAUCAUGCUAAAGUCUCCAUCCCGAAAGGAACUAUAGCUUCAUUACCAGAACAUGCAACCUUUGUGCUGGCAUAAAGGCUCACUGCGUCUAAAGCAACUGGGACCCGUCCCGUACAUGUGAUGAUGCACACUCUCCUCUCUCCAUAGCGCCAUAAACUCUCUCAGGGAGACACUGCUUUGAGGAAUGCUUCCUUACUUGUGCUAAGUAAUAAAACUCCUAUUGAUUAAAAUUUACAUUCUUGUGGAUU
ensembl:lncRNA novel transcript